rnacentral:rRNA from 1 species
AUUGAGCGCUGGCGGCAGGCUUAACACAUGCAAGUCGAGCGGGGUGAUGGUGCUUGCACUAUCACUUAGCGGCGGACGGGUGAGGAAUGCUUAGGAAUCUGCCUAUUAGUGGGGGACAACAUCCCGCAAGUGCUGCUAAUACCGCAUACGUCCUACGGGAGACAGCAGGGGAUCUUUCUUACCUUGCGCUAAUAGAUGAGCCUAAGUCGGUUUAGCUAGUUGGCGGGGUAAAGGGCUACCAAGGCGACGAUCUGUAGCGGGUCUGAGAGGAUGAUCCGCCACACUGGGACUGAGACACGGCCCAGAAUCCUACGGGAGGCAGCAGUAGGGAAUAUUGGACAAUGGGGGGAACCCUGAUCCAGCCAUGCCGCGUGUGUGAAGAAGGCCUUAUGGUUGUAAAGCACUUUAAGCGAGGAGGAGGCUCUUUUGGUUAAUACCCAGAAUGAGUGGACGUUACUCGCAGAAUAAGCACCGGCUAACUCUGUGCCAGCAGCCGCCGUAA